ensembl:lncRNA
CAGACCUGAAAAACCAGCCGCCUCCUUCUCUCCGAUUCACCACAGUAGAGCGCGCCACACACACCUGUCAGCCAGGUACACACAACAAACUCGAACACGAUUUUCUCCAUGUCUUUCUGAUAAAUGGUCCUUUUUUCUUUGGUGUUCUUUUUUAAUCAGCCACACAGCCUUACUGGACUAUGCCCUGUUCUGUGGACUGAGGGGUUUGCACUGUGGGGAGACAUUUUUCCACAAGCAGGUGCGAUCGAACAGCACACUGGUGAAGAUGCAAGCCAACACAGCUUCUCCCGUGACCAACCUCACCACGGCCACGACCAAAUCGCGAGAACAAAUCCUCAUGCAGAGAAGAUGCACACAAGGAGGAUACUCAAUGGGACUUCCACCAAACCACGUAAAAACACGACCUCAACAACAAUGACGACACUGCAGAUGGAGAACAUGCGAGGCAGUGCCAACAUGCGAGGCAGCGCCAACAUGGGAGGCUUAGUACACUUGCCCAACAUCUCGGAGAACGGGUUCCAUUUACCACGAGCCGAGGUGGCUAACACGGCUGAACGAAUCAGCAUGAACAGUGGCUCCACUGUGGUCACGAUACAUAACACGCCAUCGAUCGAAAAUACGUAAAAAAACAAACAAAAAAAACAACAACCAAUAUGUGACUUCAAUGGGCUCCAUUGUGCUGUGUGAUGAGAAAACACACCCCCACAACGAACAAACUGAUCAGAGGAUGAUGACCAGGACAUGGAAAAACAAAAGACAGACCAAACAUUGAAUUACUGGCAUGUUGAGACAAACAUGAGCACCUCUGAAGGCCGAAUGUAGUCAAUGGACCACUGGGUCAGACUGUGGUCAAAUGGACCACAGGGACUCUCAGAGCUAAGCGUGGGCAAAUGGACCACUGGGGACAUUUAGGGUUCAUUAUAGUACUGAGAAAACCAUUCCACCAGGACCAGUGGCCAUUUCACCUAAUAACCCUACUUUGUGGUCUCUGGAAAAUGAAACUAUCCAGUUUUAUAAUAGGGACCUCACAUGUCAUGACUGAACAAGUAAUACAGUGUGUGGUAUCACAUAUAAACAGUUUCCUGUGAGUCCAAGUGCAAAGACAGUAAUAAAAAGAGUGAAGGUUGUAACGUGUAACUAUUGCACUAACAAUAACUGAUGUUUCCCUUUACUUAAAACUAAGAUCAACAGAAAACCCUUUUAGUCUAAGGGCAGUUGUUAAAUGGUCAGUAGAUGUUUAAUAUGCCACCACAGCAUUGCUGAAUUCUCGAACCAGAAGAAGCUGUAACAAACAAAAGGUGUAUAUUAACACAUCUGUGUACAUCAUUCUAAUAGGUUGUCGUUUCUAUAGCAACAGCUCAUUCACACAUUAAAAAUGUGUUGUUAUUUAAAUGUAGACUCAUUGAUCAUGUGAUGUUUUCUUGAGGAGACAUUUAUUUGAACAUGUUUGGAAGGAGUCUCCAGUGUCAGCACUUUGUAACAGUUUUCUGCCAUGUGAAAGUCUUCAGGAUGGAGGACUUUGCACAUUGAGAUUUCUUGUCUUAUUAACUUGAAGAGAAAUUGGGGGAAUAACUGUUUAGUAUUGUAAUGUAAGUGAUUAGUGCAUAUUAGCUGUGUUCGACUAGAACUCGUACACUGUAAUUCCCAACCUCCAGCCAAGAAAAGCUACUUGAAAACGCUACUGAAAAUAAUACACUCCACACGAAACUUCCCUCUUAUUCAUGUCGGGUCGUAUCGUAUCACACCCAGCUCAUGUUGAUUGUUUUCCUAUAAUAGCAUGGACGGUCAUGUUCUGUUCCUUACAUUUAACACAAUUUCAAAACCACAACACGAUAAAGGUCUUAUUAACAGACAAAAGUGGAAGUCUUAACAAAGCUGCUCUUAUGGAGUUUUGUCCAAAUUUCAAACACUAGAGUGAUACAGUUAAAAAUAUAUAUAUAUAAAUAAAUGAAUGAAAUGUUACUUACAUUUUCCCUGAGGUUUAUUAAUAUCUGUCCACAAUCCUGAGGAAACAGAAGAACUGUUCAUCAAAUUUAUACAUUUGACUGAAGAAUUCAUUAAAGCUCUCUACAUGUUAAAUGCAUACGUUUACUAUCACCCAUCUGACGCCCAACAGCCUCCCUAUGUUUUGUGUUUCACAUAAGAAUCUCUUGCUCUUUUCUCAGUAAAGAGAAACGUCAAAAUUGUCUAUGGUGCACAUUAUGGAUGUAGUAGAUAGGAUGUAGUGAGAGGAGAAAAAAAACAAACUCCGGAGCAUUUUAAGGCAGUAACUUGAUGUACAAGUUGGUGUUUACUUUAGAAUUUUGCACAUUCACAUGAUAUUGAGUAAAUGAAGCUUUUUAUGUUGUUGGGACAUUAAAAACAAAUGAAAUGAUUUGUGUGAAUUGUGCUGUUACUGGUUACACCUACUAAGAUUCCUGUACAAGUUCAACUUGUGUACCAUGGAGUCAUGGAACUCGAUUCUGAUUGGUCAGACGCGUGUUGAUGAAUUUUCUAUAAAAGGUUUUUAUUAAG